GGACAGUUUCAAGAGGAAAAAUACUAUAAUUUUACGAAAUUGAAUUAUAAUUGAUAAGAACGAUAAAUAAAGAAGUAGGUUAGGUGAUAAGCAAUAAGUAAUAAGUAACAAUAAAGUGAUAAAGAUACAUAUAUAUACGUCACAAUGAACGAUUGACGUUAUCGCGAUAAGAAACGUCUAAUACAGAAGUUAGUAACAUUCGCGUGCACGAGUAUCAAUGUUAAACUUCCCUUUGUCAGCCACUGUAGUUUCCAACCUACAGAUAUUUUAUGGUAAGCAAUCUCGAAAGGAUACUUUAAUUUGAAAUAAUUGACUUCAAUUGGGAUAAACACGACGCCAUACUGCAAUCUUCAGCUUUACGACGUUGCUUCGGGAAUAAAUCCCUAAGUCAAUUUGUUAGGAAGCUACAAAAAAGGAAAACGAUCAAAGGAACAGUAACAUGGCCCUUACACACAGUGUUGAGAAAUUUCUGGAGAACGUCAACAUCUUUGGAGAAUAAAUUCUAUCCAGCAAAAUCGUCAGGAAAGUUGAUAACAAAUGGACAAAAGCCGGUCACAGAGCCAGCUAAAUUUCUGUCGCUGUAUUUCAACACGCGUAUAAAGAAGAUUCAGCAUAAAUUUGCACGCGAUGACGAUCCAAAGAAUGGGAAGCCAAAGCGAUCAUUCUGUAUCUUCGUUAAGAAAUAAAAGAAUCGUUGAAAGACGUAAAAAAAUACCUACCACAUAUACGAAGAAAUACAUAUCGUAGUAAUAAAGAAACAAGCGCUUGUACAGGCUCUUAUAUUCUAUUUUACGAGAAAUCGCUCAAAUACCGCAAAAUGUAUCGUUGCGUAUCCAUAAAAGUUUCUAGAAAAAAUUACUUGCAGAUUAGUCGAUUCGACCAGCAAAUAAUAAUAUUCGACGAAAAGCGAAGGUGUGCUUCGUAAUCCCAUGGCUGGGCCGUUAAAUCGUUGGACACGCGGAAUGAACCCCGUGGCGUGGAUUUUGCAAGUCAGCGGCGGGAAUUCAUCCUCGCUGGUUGGUUGUGUUUUGCCGUGGCUUACGAGGGGCCGAGGAUAAAGCGCCGGCCCAGAUCGCAUAAUAGUCGUGUACAUCAGCUGAUACACGAGUUUUACAGCCAGCGGCCGAGACGACACGGGCUGGUGUGUUUUUUGUCAACCAGGAUUCCAGGCUGUUAAUCGGACAAAGAGCGGCCCGGGAUCCUGGCCAAUUUAUGGCUGGCCCGGCAUUUGCAUGCUUAAACAGCCAGCGAGCACGCGUCUACCCUUAACUUUGGCUUUCUCCGGCUGGGAAAACACCGGAAGAAGGAACCUCGCCUGGUCCGAUUCGUCCGCGCGAUACAACCUACCCGCGUUAAAGAUAUCGGAGAUUCGAUAAGGAAAAGAGUUGGAAGGAAAAGUCCUGGACUUUAAGUGGUCUUUGUACCGCGAAGUUUGUCGUCGUGUUUGAACGAUCGUAUCAGAUUGGAAAAUUCUGUUGGUCGGUUUGUUAGAUAUCACCGAUUCUUAGAUAUUCGGGGAAAGUAAGUCUAAGAACGAACUACAAAUUUCAUUGCUUUGCUCCUCUGAGCAGUCUGACCGGCGAAGAAGGUGCAAGAAGAAUAGGAAGCGAUAUAUGUACACAAAGAAAAUUCCGUUAGUUACCAAAGUAAGAACUUGGUAAUUAGAAAAGAAUUAAAUUUUUAAU
rnacentral:misc_RNA from 1 species